UUUAAGGUCUAACCUGCCCAAUGAGGAUUUAAAUGGCCGCAGUAUUUUGACUGUGCAAAGGUAGCAUAAUUAUUAGUUUUUUAAUUGAAAGCUUGUAUGAAGGGUUGGACGAGGUAAAACCUGUCUCUAUUUAAUUUAAAAUAGAAUUUAACUUUUGAGUCAAAAGGCUCAAAUAAUUGUAAAAGACGAGAAGACCCUAUAGAUCUUUAUUUAAUUAAUAUUUUAAUAAUUUAGGAUUAAUUUAGUUUAAAGUUUUAAUUAAAUUUUAUUGGGGUAAUAUAAAGAUUAAAUAAAUUCUUUUUAUUUAUUACAUUGAUUUAUGAAUUUGUGAUCCAAUAUUAUUGAUUAUAAGAUUAAGUUACCUUAGGGAUAACAGCGUAAUUUUUUUGGAGAGCUCAUAUCGAUAAAAAAGUUUGCGACCUCGAUGUUGGAUUAAAAGUUAGCUUGGGUGCAGAAGCUCAAGAUUUUGGUCUGUUCGACCAUUAAAUUUUUACAUGAUCUGAGUUCAGACCGGCGUAAGCCAGGUCGGUUUCUAUCUUUAUUUUAUUAAAAUAUUUUAGUACGAAAGGACCAAAUAUUUAAUAUAUUAAUAUUUAAUUUUUGAAUAAUAUUAUUGCUUUGGCAGAUUAGUGCAAUGAAUUUAGAAUUCAUGAAUGUAAUUAUAUUACAAGUAAUACUUGUAUUUAGGAGAUUUACUUUCAAUGGUACUUUGUAUAUUAAUUCUCGUGAUUUGUGUAUUAGUUGGGGUUGCUUUUUUGACAUUAUUAGANCGAAGGGUGUUGGGAUAUAUUCAAAUUCGUAA
rnacentral:rRNA from 1 species